GUCCGCCCGCCCUCGGCUCCGCCGCCGUGAUGCUGUCCCGGUCCCGCUGUGUAUCCCGGGCGUUCAGCCGCUCGCUCUCCGCCUUCCAGAAGGGGAACUGCCCUCUAGGGAGACGUUCCCUGCCUGGGGUCUCCUUAUGCCAGGGACCAGGUUACCCUAACAGCAGGAAGGUUGUGUAAGUAUCACUGGGGAGUACAGAUAUGUGGCCACAGGUUAUUUAUUAAGACAUAAAGUUCUAAAUUUGACCAUCUGAUUUCUUCACUGGCCUCUAGACCUAGAAGUUGAGGUGAUUAUGUUGAGUCCCUAGACUAACCUCAAUGUUCACUUUUCCCAUGUGAUGUUCCUUGAGCAUCAGCUCCAUGUCAGAUGUUGGACUGGGAGUGUGCCCGCUCUCCACGUGUUUGGAUUAUAAUGAAAGUUAAGUUGGAAUCCUCUUUUUUUGGGAUAUAGAAGGGUGCUCCUAGGUAUUCUAUUUGGAUGUAAGUGCAGCUGAAAGGCUUGAGGUUACAUUUAUUGUGGAGAUUGAGAGCAUCCUCUCAGUAGCAUAGUUACUCAUUUUUA
rnacentral:sRNA from 1 species